rnacentral:rRNA from 1 species
GAUGAACGCUAGCGGCAGGCUUAACACAUGCAAGUCGAGGGGUAGGUUACUUCGGUAAUUGAGACCGGCGCACGGGUGCGUAACGCGUAUACAAUCUACCUUUUACAGAGGGAUAGCCCAGAGAAAUUUGGAUUAAUACCUCAUAGUAUUUUUGAAUCGCAUGAUUUGAUUAUUAAAGUUCCAACGGUAAAAGAUGAGUAUGCGUCCCAUUAGCUAGAUGGUAAGGUAACGGCUUACCAUGGCUACGAUGGGUAGGGGUCCUGAGAGGGAGAUCCCCCACACUGGUACUGAGACACGGACCAGACUCCUACGGGAGGCAGCAGUGGAGGAAUAUUGGACAAUGGGCGCAAGCCUGAUCCAGCCAUGCCGCGUGCAGGAAGAAGGUCCUAUGGAUUGUAAACC